GCCGUCGUGGCGGAACUGGCAGACGUGCACCGUUCAGGUCGGUGUGAGAUUUAUCUCGUGCAGGUUCGAUUCCUGUCGACGGCA
rnacentral:tRNA from 1 species